ACCCAGAAGGACAAGUCUUGAAGUAGGAGGGUGGGGAGAACCAGAUGAACAAGGGAGGUAAAAACGUGAUCUAGGCAGGCAUCCGAGGGAGCAAUGGCACGAGUGAGCCUGGUACACUUUUGGGCAGGCAGAAGGAAGGCAGUUAGGCCAUUAGGAAAGCAGUAUGGGCAGUGAAUUCUACAAAGAAGGCUAUGGGAAAGACGCCUGGAAAGUACCCUUGGCUGUGUACAUUUGACUAAAGAGAGGACUAUAAAAUCAAAAACCAAUGAAAUAGUUUCCAGAACACAAAACUAUUAAGCUUAAGAAAAGGACAGAAGGAACUGAAAAGAGAGGAAAUGUGUUUUGGAGCAUCACAUUUCCACCUCAGAAGAAAUAAGGAAGGAAGGAGGAGGGUGUUCCCACAGCUCUUCAACCAGGCCAGCUCCUCAGCCUACAUCCCCAUCUCAUCAAGUACGAGGGAUUUUUUCAACUGGACCAACCAGAUGGUUUAACAGUGCACUCCCACACCAUUCAACUACGCAAGGGAGAUUCACUUAACAUAUGCAGUCAUAUAACACCUACUAACAUUUUCAAACAUUAAACCUUUAAAAAAGAGUCCUAAGAAAUAGAAGCAUGAAGAAUCAUCUCUCAAGUAGAUAGACACUACUUCAUGGUGUGGUAAUAUACGCAUAUAGAAGCUAGUAAACACCUCUAGGAGACGCAAAAGGAAUUAGAACCUCCACAAGGUGCAAGCAAAACCUUGAAGUGAGAAGAUCGAAUUUGGACACCAUUGAGGAGACUACUGCAGUCAUCCAAGCUCAAUAUGGUUGAGAAUAACCAAUGCGGACAGAUUUAAGAGACACUUAGAGUCUGCAGCCAACAGGGCUGAAUGAGCAGAAAGUUAUAAUUCAGAAGAUCAUAUAAAAUUGAACAGCUGCCACUACUGGCAGUAAGUCUACUGCCAUUUGGUAGAUAACCUUCUUAUCACACAGAAAAAUAUAAGUACUGACAAAUAGACCGCAAAGAAAAUGAGACCAUCAGCAAAGAAGAUAAAGAAGUUUGUACAAAGCACGUUUUUAUAAAUGGAUGGCUGUCCGGCAAAAAUAAAUUUCCUGUGGACAAGACCAAGAGCAAGGCAAGAGGAAAAUAAACAUGUUUAAACUA